GACGAACGCUGGCGGCGUGCUUAACACAUGCAAGUCGAACGGAAAGGCCCUGCUUUUGUGGGGUGCUCGAGUGGCGAACGGGUGAGUAACACGUGAGUAACCUGCCCUUGACUUUGGGAUAACUUCAGGAAACUGGGGCUAAUACCGGAUAGGAGCUCCUGCUGCAUGGUGUGGGUUGGAAAGUUUCGGCGGUUGGGGAUGGACUCGCGGCUUAUCAGCUUGUUGGUGGGGUAGUGGCUUACCAAGGCUUUGACGGGUAGCCGGCCUGAGAGGGUGACCGGACAAAUUGGGACUGAGAUACGGCCCAGCCUCCUACGGGAGGCAGCAGUGGGGAAUAGUGCACAAUGGGCGGAAGCCUGAUGGAGCAACGCCGCGUGCGGGAUGACGGCAUUCGGGUUGUAAACCGCUUUCGCCUGUGACGAAGCGUGAGUGACGGUAAUGGGUAAAGAAGCACCGGCUAACUACGUG
rnacentral:rRNA from 1 species